UACUGUCUGUUUCAUUCCAGCUUCUGCCAAAAAUACCUAUGGAUCAUGUUUAAUACACUGUGGUAUGUGCUUAAACCUUGACACAAUGGGGAAAACACUGCAACUUAAUAUUGAAUGAGAUGCUAGGCAUUGAAAAUGGUAAGAGGAGAGGAAUUAGACUCCCAUAUGCAAGAGGAAAGGAAUUAGAACAACCUUCAAAGAGAAGAAUGCUGAAGGAUUUGAAAAUAUAUUUUAAAACCACCAAAACAGCGUCACAGAGGAUACAUUUUUGCACUCCAUAGAGAAUGUGACCUACAGGAUCCACUAGCAAAAGACAUCUGACUGUUAGAGGUUAAAGGAACAGUAAAGAUCCAGUUCCACUUUUUAAUCCUGCAGACGGGAAAUUUGAAACUUACAGAGUUAAUGGUUUUCUCCAAGGUCACAUGAAGACGGAAGUCAAGCCAAGAUAAAAAUCAAGGGAAAAAC
rnacentral:lncRNA from 10 species